AUUGAACGCUGGCGGCAUGCCUUACACAUGCAAGUCGAACGGUAACAGGUUAAGCUGACGAGUGGCGAGCGGGUGAGUAAUACGUCGGAACGUGCCCAGACGUGGGGGAUAGCUCGGAGAACGCCGGAUUAAUACCGCAUAAGCUCUGAGGAGGAAAGCGGGGGACCGUAAGGGCUCGCGCGGUUGGAGCGGCCGAUGGCAGAUUAGGUAGUUGGUGGGGUAAAGGCUUACCAAGCCUACGAUCUGUAGCUGGUCUGAGAGGACGACCAGCCACACUGGGACUGUGACACGGCCCAGACUCCUACGGGAGGCAGCAGUGGGGAAUUUUGGACAAUGGGCGCAAGCCUGAUCCAGCAAUGCCGCGUGCAGGAUGAAGGCCUUCGGGUUGUAAACUGCUUUUGUACGGAACGAAAAGGCGCCUACUAAUACUGGGUGUUGAUGACGGUACCCGGAGAAGAAGCCCCGGCUAACUUCGUGCCAGCCGCCGCGGUAACAC
rnacentral:rRNA from 1 species